GCGUCUUUUUGGAUUUUAUUUAAAGUCUAACCUGCCCCCUGAGCAUUAAAGGGCCGCGGUAUUUUGACCGUGCGAAGGUAGCAUAAUCAAUAGUCUUUUAAUUGAAGGCUGGUAUGAAUGGUUGAAUGAGAUAUAUACUGUUUUUUUAAAAUUUUUAUAGAACUUUAUUUUUUAAUUAAAAAGUUAAAAUGUAAUUAAAAGACGAGAAGACCCUAUAGAUCUUUAUUUUUAUAAAUUAUAAUUUAUAAAGAAUUUUAAAAAUUAUAUUUUAAAUAAAAUUUUACUGGGGUGGUAUUAAAAUUAAAUUAACUUUUAUUAUUUAUUAACAUAUAUUUAUGAUUAAAGGAUCCUGUUAUAUGGAUUAAAAAUUUAAGUUACCUUAGGGAUAACAGCGUAAUUUUUUUAGAGAGUUCAUAUCGAUAAAAAAGAUUGCGACCUCGAUGUUGGAUUAAGAGUUAUUUUUAGGUGUAGAAGUUUAAAGUUUAGGUCUGUUCGACCUUUGAAUUCUUACAUGAUCUGAGUUUCAAACCGGAGA
rnacentral:rRNA from 1 species